AGUGAACGCUGGCGGUAGGCCUAACACAUGCAAGUCGAACGGCAGCACAGUAAGAGCUUGCUCUUACGGGUGGCGAGUGGCGGACGGGUGAGGAAUACAUCGGCAUCUACUUUUUCGUGGGGGAUAACGUAGGGAAACUUACGCUAAUACCGCAUACGACCUACGGGUGAAAGCAGGGGAUCUUCGGACCUUGCGCGAUUCAAUGAGCCGAUGUCGGAUUAGCUAGUUGGCGGGGUAAAGGCCCACCAAGGCGACGAUCUGUAGCUGAUCUGAGAGGAUGAUCAGCCACACUGGAACUGAGACACGGUCCAGACUCCUACGGGAGGCGGCAGUGGGGAAUAUUGGACAAUGGGCGCAAGCCUGAUCCAGCCAUACCGCGUGGGUGAAGAAGGCCUUCGGGUUGUAAAGCCCUGUUGUUGGGAAAGAAAAGCAGCAGGUUAAUACCCCGCUGUUUUGACGGUACCCAAAGAAUAAGCACCGGCUAACUUCGUG
rnacentral:rRNA from 1 species